rnacentral:lncRNA from 1 species
CUAGCAGAGCGGGUGCGAGGCGGGCACAAAGGGUCUCUGUUUUCGGGGGCUAAGUGGCACUCAGUUGAUCAAUUACCAGAUCAAUUGACUUCUCAAAUUCUAAUAUAAAUAAGAAUCACUUGACUCUCUUGUUAAAAUGCGGAUUCUGAUCCAGAAGGUCUGGGGUGGAGACCUGAGAUCCUGCAUUUCUAAUAAGCUCCCAGGUGGCGAUGACGAAGCUCUUGGUCGGAGGAUCACGCUUUGAAUUGCACCUGUCCGAAAGUAAUGGCUGUAGCCCCAGCUCCACGUAAUUUGAAACUUGCACGACCUUUCUUGUCCUUCUUCCACUGAUGAGAAGCGUUCCUGUGGCUACAUGGGGUGUCCCGGUGAUGCUUACAGUUUGGGCACCAGCUGAGGGAAGGUGUGUUUAAUCCCCACAUUACCCACCCUUGGUCUAUGGAGCAGCAAUCAUGCCAACUUGGUGACUGGAGUGUGGAACCAGAAGUGGAGACGGAAUGGCCAUGGAAGAGAACACUGUGUCUACGUUAAUCCUAAAGGGUUGGGCGUGUGUGUCUGAGUGGCGCGGUGCCAGACACUUGGCCAGAGAAGUGGUAUAAGUGGUCCCUGCUUCUCAAAACGUAACAAUUUGUUGUAGAACUAUACAGGCUAGUUCAGAAAGAAGCAUGUGGAGAAAACAUCCGGGAAGCUAACAGUCACAGCACAAAUUCAGGCAUAAGCUAAAGAGGUUGUAAAAUAAUAUGCCUUGAGGGUCUUAAAAACUGUCCAAAUAUUCUUCUGUCAGUAAUUCCAGAGUCUAGAAGUUAGGACUCCCACUGGCCCUGUCAUUUCUCAAAUUUGACCUAAGGACUCAGUGUUUUCGGACUGGCCAGCUAGAACCUUUGUCGUUCAGCGUAGCCAAGCUCUUAUUACCCAGUAGUGUACCGCCGUGGUUCAAGAUUCUUAAGUGCUGAAUUCUCCAAAACCUUCAUCUCUCAUCUCUUGAAACCAGGUGGUAUAACCCUGCUUCAGCAUUUCUCUCUCACUAUCAAGGUGAUCAAACUGUCGCUUAGAGAAAACUUCACCUUUGUCAGUGUGUCCUGAACUUCUCUGGCUUCUCAUCCCCAGAAGUGAAGCCCACCUAGCAAUCUCAGACAUUGUUCAUCACAUUGUCCCUAUCAGAGAUGGCAUCGCACAAAAUUCAGAGUUUCUGGGAACAUGUUAAACCUGUCACAGCAAUGGUUCUGGCUACAGCAGGAGUAAAGAAAUGUCUAAGCAAGAAAAAUGUUUUGAAAGCCUCAAAAAAAGUUUGUUUGCUGUCAUUAAACCAGUGGUUCUCAAGCCUAGCUGGAUGGCUGAAGAGCAGGAAGAAGAGGAGAGGUUGGUCUUGCUGUCUUAGGGGUGGCAGAAGCAGAAGAUAAUCCAUGCAUAAAUGGACCUGCACAGUCCAAAGCUGUGUUCUUCAAGGGUCAACUGUAU